rnacentral:tRNA from 1 species
GGGCCGCCCGGCCGGUCCCGGUGGCGGCGGUGCCGGUCGUCCCGGCGGCGGCGCCGGUCGUCCCGGUGGCGGCGCC